rnacentral:piRNA from 1 species
UCCAGAUAACCAAGACGGACUUCACGAUA